UUUUGUUUGCCCCUUCCCAUCCGACNCUCCUUGNGGGUUGUAGGAGGGCCACACAGUAGUCCCCGUGUUCCAUGAGAGCGUCGCACUGUCGUCGGCUCUCAAGGCCCAUGGGGAUCUAUUGGUCUCUCGGAUGCGGUUCACACGGCGGCGGUGUGACGGACGUCACAUCUGUCCAUGCGAAAAUUCGGUUUACCUGAAUGAUGUCCGUGCCCGCGUCGAUUUCGCCCUGCAUAGCUCGGCGAUCUCGUGCGGUGCCCGGCAUCAUAAANGNAUGCUACCUGGUUGAUCCUGCCNGUAGUCA
rnacentral:misc_RNA from 1 species